ACACGGUCUGUCCUCUGAGAGCUGUGACCCACCAAGGGGCUUCAAUGUCCAUCACUCCAAGUUUUUGUUGUGACGAGACAAAGAACCGAGGAGCAUACACUCGUGUGACAUCUCUGGUGCCGUGACUCGGAUUUAACCUGGCUGAAACAACCUCCAAGCUGAAGAGGCCAAGCGCAGCAGGAGCCCAACUCAGUGAAGCUCCUGUAGAAGUGGAACGCGAAGAAAACCCAGCGCAGUGGAAGGCCGUCGUGCUGGAAACCGGUGUAGUGAAAAACGAACUCGGCAGAAAGCCCACGUGGCUCAGCCUCACAUUCCAGACGACCUCCGGUUAAGGUAGGAGGUCCUCGCUCCUAUGGCUGGAAGGACAUGCCUAACAAUUACAAUCUCUCGUUUCUCAUUUCCUUGAACCUCCCGCGAACAGGCAGGCGGCAGUGGGUGCAAUUGAGGGACUCUGGAGAGGCUAUUUUUCAGUAUGUCCCAAAGGCACUAUCUGCUGGGCCCCAGUAGCGGUUACCGAAGCUGGUGGGGGUUCUUUUGUUCUUACUCUUUGUGCCAAAAAUCAGGCCAAUGAAAACUGUGAGCACCGGCUAGAUAUCUAGCAAACUUUCCAGUAGGCUAUGAAGGGGAUUCCUUGGCACACCUUUCCCACUGCUUUUCCCUCUUUUCCUUCAGCUCUCUCUCCCGGGAUGCGAGCCCGACCAAAACCCAGGAUGCCCAGCUCAGGCUCUGAGGUCUUAUUACAAAAAUUCAGUGAUAGACAAAGCGAUAAGUGGGAGGUGGAUUUGCUAGGAUUCAGAGAAAAGCACCCAUUCUAUAGGGUACCGGCCAUGGAAUGUGACCUAACUAAGUUUUGCAAACGGGGAGAAUUCAUAUGCUAAUGAGUGGGAGGAUCAUCCCAGCCAUUGGGGAACCACCCACUCCUCCCUCUGUUGACAGUGCCUUAGGGCUGUUCUGUCAUCUCUGGGUGUGUCUUUUGGUUUACCGAUUGGGGAUUAAAGUUUGCUGGAAUUUGACUUGUCUUGAUAGACCCAAUUGACUUUAUUAAUCGGUUUACGUUAUGCCCUGGUGCUAUGUCAUUCUUCCAAAGGUUGUGCUCUGCCCCUCUUCCUUCCUGUUUCAUGCUCCUUUCCUCAGCCCCAUCCGGGCCCACAAUGUUGCCUCUACAGUCUUCUAGAGGGAUAACCAAAAAAUAGCUGGCCUUAGGAGGCAAGUACUGUAUAAUAUCCAACCCCUUAGUCCUACCUAGCAUUGGUCACACUGGAGAUCUUGGGGACGCCCAAACUCCAGUCCAGGGGUCCCAGGAGGUCAUCACGCCUUGACCUGCCUAGGGAUCUGGUUCUUGAAAUGUUGUCACGCCUCAGCCUUUUGGGGAUCCGCCAGUCCCAAGGGUCCCAGGAGGUCGUCACGCCUCGACCCGCCCAGGGGCUCAAUUCUCAGGAGGCCGUCAUGCCUCGACCUGCCCAGGGAUUCGAUCUCAGGAGGCUGUCACGCCUCAGCCUGCCUGGAGAUCUGCAUCCUGACCCGGGGACGCCUGGCUCUCAGGUUGCUACAGUACUGGGUAGGAUAAGCUUCAAAAAGCCUAUUAGUUUUUUUCUUUUCCUUUUCCUCCCUAACAUGACUGUUUUUCAGAUGGGAAAUAACCAAUCCAUUUCCCGGCAGACGCCCUUGAGAUGCAUCCUUGACAACUGGAAGCUGUUCGAUCCUCUAGCUCUGAGGAAGGGUCGUUUGAAAUUCUUUUGUGCCACUGCGUGGCCAUGGUAUCCACUGGGGAACGAGGAACACUGGCCCGAGGAUGGGACUUUAAAUUACAAUACCAUCCUGCAAUUAGAAUUAUUCUGCAAAAGACAAGGGAAAUGGACAGAGAUCCCCUAUGUCCAAAUUUUCUUCAGACUGAGAGAUAUGAAGGAACUCUGUCUUAAGUAUGGGAUUGUUGUACGCCCUAAAAGUGAGCCCACUAGGCAAAUGGUGUUAGGCACAGGCAACCAAGAGAAGGAAGCCCCCCGUGAAGGCUCACCUCCCACAGCUCCCGAGUUGCCUGGUGCUUCUUCCUUGCCUCCAAGCGUUCCCCCAUAUCCAGGAACACCCCCUCCACAAAAGUCAGCUCGAGUAUGUCCCUUAGUUGAAACUGGAGGAGAAUUCAGACCAUCCCGAGUCCAUAAACCCUUCUCCCUCUUAGAACUAAGACAGAUCAAACAAGACCUGGGAAGCUAUACAGAUGACCCAGGCAAAUACAUAGAUACGUUCCAACAUAUUACCUUGGCCUUUGACUUGACUUGGAAGGACACCAUGGUCAUAUUUAGUCAAACUUUAUCUGACCCUGAACAUACUAGGGUCUUAAAGGAAGCCCGGAGGUAUGCAGCAGGGCUUCACAUGUCAAACGAUAGAUACCCAGUAGGGGAAACUGCAAUUCCCUCCUCUGAUCCUAACUGGAAUUAUAAUGACCCUGAGCACAUCUGGGAAAGAGAUCAUUUUCUAAUCUGUAUAAAGGCAGGACUGAAAGCAGCCCAGCAAAAAGUAAUCUGCUAUGCCCAGGUCUCAGCAAUAACUCAGGAGUCCAAUGAGAACCCCAUUGCCUUUCUGGAAAGGCUGAAAGAGGCCCUCCAAAAGUUUACCAAUUUGGACUUAGACUCUUACGAAGGACAGGUGAUUUUAAAGGACAAAUUCCUGUCCCAAUGUGCAUCAGAUAUCAGAAUUAAGUUACAACAGCUAUAGCAGCAGGACUCUGCUGCCUCUUUAGAUGAGAUGAUCCAGACAGCCACCAAUACCUUUUAUAACAGAGAACAGGAGAAGGAGGCCAAGGCCCAAGCGAGGGAGAGAAGAAAAGAGACAAGGCAUGCCCAGAUGCUGGCCGCCCUCCAGGGAAGCCCUAUGGCACACCCCGAGCCCUUGAAUGACAAGGCACGAAGCAAACGCCUAAUCUGUAGACAAGCGGAGCAUUGGGCCAAAGAGUGUCCUAACCGUGACAAGUCUCCUAGAACAGCUUGCCACAAAUGCCAUCAACUGGGACAUUGGGCGGCACUCUGCCCUCGGGACCCAAGAGCCUUAAGGUCAAGCGCCAAGCCUUCCCUCACGAUGGUUCAAGAGGACUGAAGCAGCCUGCUCCAGCCAGCCUGCCUGUCACGGAUAACCAUCACGGGGCUGGAGCCAAGGGUGCAACUGGAUGUGGCAGGGCUCUCUCCCCUUUCACUCCUGUCUAGAAACCUUGGACCACUGGACAAAACCCCGAGAGGGAUUGUCAGAAGAUGCUCUGAUCAAUCCUGAAGAAAUCUGGUACACUGACGGAAGCAUCUUUGUCUUGGAUGGAAAAAGAAGAGCCGGAUAUGCAGUAGUCUCCAAUUUUGAGAUCAUAGAGGCUAAGCCUCUGCUGCCAGCGGUCAAGGUGCCAGGACAUGACUCCUGGAUUCACUACUCACGAGUCAAGCCAUGGAAGAAAACAGAAGAGGACACUCAAUACACCUGUGAGCCCCUGGGAGAUCUCAGAUACCGAUUCAGAACUACAAAUGAGUGCCAUUCUAAUAAACAACCCCAAAAUCUGGUCUCUGGGGAUAAGAUUUCUCAAGACAGCUCUAAAGAGCCAACACAGCUUUGCAGAAGUAAUACUCCAAAACAGACAGGAGAUAGUUCUUCUGAUCUCUGAACAAGGAGAGACUUGAGCCAUCCUGGUGAUGUGAAUUUAAAAUUGGCUAAUGCCCCUACUAGUCCUUGUUAUGCCACACUGAUGCUGCUAAUGACUGUUCCAUGUACUGUCAAUGGUCUAACCUGUCUUGUCUCUGCCCAGGUCAAGCUACAACAUGCAGCGCCAGUUCAACAAAGAUACAAAACUACAGCCAACCACGGAAAACAUCAGUCACCCUUAGACGGACACCGCUAGAAGGACUCUGAGGCCUGAGACUAGCAAGAGGGGGAGGCCCAAUGCCCCUCGCCAUCCCAGUUCAGCAGGAAGUAGCCAGAGAGACCUCAACACCCCUAUUCCCAAAGGACUGGGCCUCCCAUCUCUUGAGGGGGGAAUGUUAGUUAGUUAGAAUAGGGAUAAGGAGUCUAAAAUGGCGGUGGCUAAAAGACCUGGAAAGGAAAAGCCCGCGAAAAUAGAACAAAGGAAGGUCCGAGGACCAGAGUGAGAACCUCAGAUAAAACAAACAACGCUCCUGCCUAAGCCCAAUUUGCAUAGGACAGGCCCAGGGGGAACAAAAAAACAUAUAAAAAGAGGAGUCAAAGCCCUCUUCUCUCUCUCUCUCCCCUCUCUCUCUCCCGCACGAUGGGGCACUCUUCUCUUUGUGUCUUUGGAUCGACGUGCCCUCACGCCUCAAAGAUGGAUUUUCCUGCUAUUAUCUAAAUAAAUAAAGCUGUAACACUGAUUUAUUUAAGAGCUAUAACACCGUCUGUCCUCCUAGAGCUGUGACCCACCAAGGGGCUUCGAGGUCCGUCACUCCAAAUUUUUGUUGUGAUGAGACAAAGAACCGAGGAGCAUACACUCACCUGACAGUUUAUUUUGGCUUCCUCUCUUUGCAAGUCCCUUCAGUGCCUAAUUUCUGCCCUGACAGAAGGGGACGAAGGUGGUCACUUUAUUUAGGCUUACU